GAGUGGUGCUUGCUGUAGGCUGUGGUCACAGGAGGCUCUGCUGGAUAGAGCCACAUCUGAUUCCCACGGGGGGGACCCUGUUUCUGCUCACCAGUGCUGGAGGAGUAAACUCUCCUGGCACAAGGAAAGGCUGCAGAAGGGAUUGCUUGCUGUAACUGAUUAAGUUUUACUAUAAGGGAAGUGCAGCACUUCCUUCCCAUCUGACUGCUGGGAUCAAAUCCAAGGAAAAUUGAAGAUGGAUAUAUUUUUAUGAACAAGCAGAUAGGAAGCUCACUGCAGUGUGUUUCUUGUGCUGCUAUUUAGGAUGGUCAUUUUUGCUGUUGCCCCCAGAGUUUGUGUAGAUGGGAGAGACUACCUUUUGCUCAAGAGAAAUGUCAUAACCUUUGUUCCAUGUCGUAAGAUCAGCUGUCUUUAAUCAGCACUCCUCUCCUCGGUGCCAUUUCAGAGCUUUGCUGAAAUUUCAUUUGCCUCCUUAACUAUCCUGAGUUAUAUUGUAACUCCACAAUCUUUUGGUUUUUUUUCAGUAGUGAAUCUGGUUUAAAUCCUUUGCUAACACACAACAGUUCAUGGCCCCAUCAGCUGUGCUGGCACAACUUUAGCCAUCCCGAAAGCCAGACUGACCCUUUAAAAUUGAAAAGCCCUUUGUUUGGGAAAGAGAUAUUUUAAACUAUUUUUUCCAUUAAGAAAAGUGUACAUGGAUUCAAUAUCCUCAGUAUUUCUCCAUGGCAUUCAGAGAUCUGGCUCACAGUUUAAAUAUUUUCCAAUCACAUCCCAAGAUUCAGUUUUCUUUUGCCCUGGAGCCUGGCAAAAAUUUGAACACUGUGAUUUCUUAAUUUCAUUUAUUAUAGCUAUUCAUAUAUUUCCUAAUAAUAAUAAGUCUCUCAGGUAUUAUUUUCACAGCAGCUUAGAAAUAUUAAUAGCCUCUUGAGAAGAGGCUAAAGCAAACCUUCCCUUAUUUAUAUGUCAGGGGUGUCAUUGUCCAGUUCUAAGCCAGCCACCUUCCUGCCUUCAUUCAAUCAGCACAGAGAUUUCUUCAAAGCAUGAAAUUUCUCAUUGCAUGGUGGCUUUUUUUUUUGGAGGAGCUCUCCAAUGGUGCCUGCUUCUUUCCACUGGCUGAUAAAGAUGCUGAGGAUAAUAAUGCUUCAGACAUACACAUGCAAAAUACACAUCUAGCAUGAAAAUAUCUAAAAGCAGGUAAAAUGAAGUUUACUUUGAGUAACUAGCUGAAUGACACACAAAUCAUGUUUGGCAGAGGCAAGGACUGAAUCCAUAUCUGCCAAGACAUAAAUCAAGUAAUUCAUGGGAUGUUUGCUUUUCUGGGUCUGUAACUGUCCCGGGGAAGAGCAGCAUGAAGAGAUUUUGCAACUAAUGUGACUGUAGCUGAGACAGGCUUUCAGUAAGUUGAUUUUAACAACCUGUUUGAUGGGAAAACCUCAAGAAAUGAAGAAUAUGCUAUUUCCCUGGAAACCAGGAGCUCUAUGCCUCUUCAUGUGCUAACAGCUUUCUCCCUUUGAACAGGUCUGGAUCCUGAGUGUACUUCUUGUUUUGCCUGAUUAAAAAGCCGUCUGAUAUUUAGCAUUUUCUCUCUGUGAAAACAUUUAUAUUAGACAGUUUUCUUUCUCCACUGCACUAAACAUGUGAUCUGCCUGAGUCUCUUGCUGAGGCAGCUUCUUUGCUUCUCUAUCUUUCCAAUUUUCAGGCAACUUGAAUGAUUCUACAAAUCGUCUAAAAAUUGUCAAUAUCAGAACUUCAACCACUGUGUUCAAACUGGCCUUUCUUUUGUCUGAAACUGUGGCAAAAUGAUCAUUCUGCUCUAUUCACUUCUGUUAUACAAAUACUACUUUUGUUAUUUCUGUCAUGGCUUGCUGCUGGGUGCCCAUGUGGAGUUGUUCAACCAGCCUGACUUUCAGAGUCAGUGACUUUCCUGAGUCCCUCCUUUCCAGAGCACAACCCACUCCCUUUACUUCUUCCUUCCCUUUUUUUGCAUUAUGGUCUGCAAAGCACCCUCAUAGAUUUCAUACUUUUAAAUGUCUGGUGAAAAACAUCUUUUCACUGAAUGGGAAUGUCUGAAUGGGAACUGCUCAUUUGAAUUGAUUUGCUUAUCAACAUUCAACAACAUUGCUAAUCUUUUUAAUCUCAUUUUAUCAGCAAUAAUAUUGUGUUUACUGUUAGGACAUUUUGAAAACAUAAGUUUGUCUUGAGACCUGUACCAAUCACUGAGCUGUCCUGAUCCAGUCCUCUGAACAGACUCUUUUAAAUGGAAAUACCAAGGUGACUGCUACUUUUUGAGGUGACUUUUACUGCAACCCUUCUGCUAACUGCUUUUGAUAUUAUAUCAUGUUUAUUUAGCAAUCACAAUCAUAUGAAGUGGUACUUGUCAAGUCUUACUAUCCAAAUAUAUCUACUCAAUUGCCUUUGCAAAAGAAAUUGUGGUUCACUUAAUGAUUUUUUCCUAAAAAUAUGUUGACUUCCAUUACUUAUACUCUUCUGAUUUAAUUUUCCAGUAGCCGAACAACAUAAACAGCGAGUUUGUGUUUUCUGCAACCUCUAUUUGCUCCAUUCUAUGCUUGACCUCUUGCAUGUUGGUACAGUUGGUUCCGAAUUACCUCUACAUUCAGAAUCUUAUUUAAAAAUAACAUCAGCUUAACACAUUAGAAUGUAUUUCUAAUUCAGUUUGGAGUAGGAAGCUGGGAAUCUGUCCAGCUGGUUCUUUUAUGAAUCUUAGGUGGAAAUUUGUGUAGGUUCCUGUUUUUUAUAAGAAGGAUUUUGAAAGUGUUUGCUAAGACACGUUGCUUAACAUUGUCUGUAGUUUCCAUUGAAUUUGGAAGUUGGGUUGCAAUCUGUAGUAAAAAAAUAUUCAGCCUUAAAGCAAAGAAUGGCACAAGGGCUCUGCCUCCCACCAAGGGCAGCCAAGGGAGGAGGGAAAGGUGCUCAUCUGUUUUCUGGCCGUGUGGCAAGGACUUGAAGGGCCACUAAUGGCCCAGUUAGGUCAGAAUGAGGCAUUUCCUUCCAAACCUGGUGCAAGAAGCACGUUAAAGCUACUGUGCACUCAGGAGGGAGCUGCUGCAUGUUUGGACUACAGAGAGCCAGAGAGAAAAUAGGGGAGAUCUUUGCCCAGCACAAUUGUCUUUGCGGUUUGAGGUACCCCAACAGCAGAAGCAUUUAGUAAAUCUCUGGGUGCUGCAUAGAGAGAUUUUGGAAAUUUCUUCUGGAAAACAUCAGAGAUUAAAACUGGCCAUAAUGAACUUCUCUAAUUUUGGUCCCCUUGAUUUCUUUUCUUAACUGUGGUGUCUGUCAGGUGCCAUUGAUUUGAAAGUUAAUUGCUGCUUAUAACCAAUUACUUUACUUCUCAGAGACAGCUCUCCAGAAAAAAAGAAAAGCAAAACCCAAACCCCAAAACAAAAUGAAAACCACAAAACUUCCUGGUAAACUCACAAUAUUAAAAUUAAAUUUUUUUUUCUCUUUUGGUAAUUUGGGUUUGUUUUGCACUUCUUUAGGGAAUGGUCCUUCAGUCAUGGACACUGAAAUAAUUUGACAACUAUUUCCUUCCUGCUGAAAGAAUACAAAAAGCCCUGGGAGCCUGAGCUUCACUGAUACUUCACUGAUGUGAUUGAGACCGACUCCAGUGUCAAGUGAGGUUGGAAUUUGGACACACUGUUGUAAUAGUCUGUGUUUCCUUGUCUUGUCCUAGAACAUGCAGUAUGUUACUUUGAAUAUUGUCUGUGGCUCAUCUGGCAAUAAUCACAGAGUCUAGUUACAGAAAUACGGAGAAAUAAAAAAAAAAACCAAAAGGGCAUGGAUUUGUCAGUGAAGCAUGAUCAACACUGUCUAGAGAAGAACAGCUAACAGUUCAUCAGAUUUGGUGCCAGAAGGUCAUUGAUCUACUGUGCCUGGAAGAGACACAUACAGACUGCUGUGCCUGUUUAAGAAAUAAUUUGAUAAGGAAAAUAAAUGCAAUGCCUCUUAUGCUCCCCUCUCCAUAUUCUAUAGAUGGUGAAUAAAUUUUUUUUCAGCUCUCUCUGAA